AUUGCAGGCUGNAACCCGCCUCGCAUGAAGUCGGAAUUGCUAGUAAUCGCGGAUCAGCAUGCCGCGGUGAAUACGUUCCCGGGCCUUGUACACACCGCCCGUCACACCAUGGGAGCCGGUAAUACCCGAAGUCAGUAGUCCAACCUCGUGAGGACGCUGCCGAAGGUAGGAUUGGCGACUGGGGUGAAGUCGUAACAAGGUAGC
rnacentral:rRNA from 1 species